AGCUGGCUGGUCAGUUGCUCUCUGGUCGCCUUGGGGAUAACACGCGCGCGCUCUAGUGCUCCUCUAGUGCUUCCUCUUGAGCGUUACUGUGGUGGUGUGGUGGGUGGUGGUGUUCUGUGGGUGGUGGUGUUCUGUGGUGGUGAGGUGGCGAGGGUUACUGCAGAGCUGAGGAAGGCACCUUGAGACUGUGUUGGAGGAUAAGGAAGACCUUUGAAGAACAGCAGCGACCUCACCCUCACACACACACACACACACACACACACACACACACACACACACACACACACACACACACACACGCACACACACACACGCACACACACACACGCACACACACACACACA